rnacentral:rRNA from 1 species
CUACGGGCCGCACCAGUGGGGAAUAUUGCACAAUGGGGGAAACCCUGAUGCAGCAACGCCGCGUGGAGGAUGACGCAUUUCGGUGUGUAAACUCCUUUUAUAUAGGAAGAUAAUGACGGUACUAUAUGAAUAAGCACCGGCUAACUCCGUGCCAGCAGCCGCGGUAAUACGGAGGGUGCAAGCGUUACUCGGAAUCACUGGGCGUAAAGCGCGCGCAGGCGGCCUUUUAAGUUGGAUGUGAAAGCCUACGGCUUAACCGUAGAACUGCAUCCAAAACUGAGGGGCUAGAGUCUGGGAGGGGAAGAUGGAAUUAGUUGUGUAGGGGUAAAAUCCGUAGAGAUAACUAGGAAUACCAAAAGCGAAGGCGAUCUUCUGGAACAGUACUGACGCUGAGGCGCGAAAGCGUGGGGAGCAAACAGGAUUAGAUACCCUUGUAGUC